GCAUAUCAAUAAGCGGAGGAAAAGGUGGAGAAGAAAGGAGAAGAGGAGGAAGAGAAGAGAGAAGACCGGCGAAGGGAGGAGAAGGUGGAGAAGAAAGGAGAAGAGGAGAAAGAGAAGAGAGAAGACCGGCGAAGGGAGGAGAAGGUGGAGAAGAAAGGAGAAGAGGAGAGAGAGACAGAAGGAGAGACUAUGAAUAUUACACCGUCUUGAAACACGGACC
rnacentral:rRNA from 1 species